rnacentral:rRNA from 1 species
AUUGAACGCUAGCGGGAUGCUUUACACAUGCAAGUCGAACGAGUGGCGGACGGGUGAGUAAUAUAUCGGAACGUGCCCAGUAGCGGGGGAUAACUACUCGAAAGAGUGGCUAAUACCGCAUACCUUGGGACGGGCCAUUAUGGGAUUGGCUGGUGGGGGGGGUAACGGCUAACCAAGGCAACGAUCCUUAGCUGGUUUGAGAGGACGACCAGCCACACUGGGACUGAGACACGGCCCAGACUCCUACGGGAGGCAGCAGUGGGGAAUUUUGGACAAUGGGGGAAACCCUGAUCCAGCCAUCCCGCGUGUAUGAGAAGGCCUUCGGGUUGUAAAGUACUUUUGGCAGAGAAGCGGUAUCUGCAGAAUAAGCACCGGCUAACUACGUGCCAGCAGCCGCGGUAAUAC